rnacentral:lncRNA from 1 species
GUCGUGAUUUGAUGUUUUGCUCCAGUCAACCUGUAGAGAAAAGGACAGUGAUCACAGUGGUAUAAAAAUUGCAUCGAACAGGAACCGGAAAGGGCCUCAUCGGAGGCAAAAAUCGAAGAAAGCCGCGGCAGCACUACUGGACUUCGGUGGUAUUUUUCGACCGAUUGGCCGGUGGUUUGGCUCCGAUUUGGCCAUAGGCGGAUUCAGCAUCGAAAAAUGAGCCAAGAAGAGAAAAUUUACCUCGUUUGGCGGUCGGAAAACCCUCCGUUGCGGCGACGGGUAGCGGUGGCCGACUCCUCCGGU